rnacentral:rRNA from 1 species
UAGGGAAUCUUCCACAAUGGGCGCAAGCCUGAUGUAGCAACACCGCGUGAGUGAAGAAGGGUUUCGGCUCGUAAAGCUCUGUUGUUGGAGAAGAACGUGCUUGAGAGUAACUGUUCACGNCGUGACGGUAUCCAACCAGAAAGUUCCUGCUACCUACGUGUCAGCAGCCGCGGUAAUACGUAGGUGGCAAGCGUUAUCCGGAUUUAUUGGGCGUAAAGCGAGCGCAGGCGGUUGCUUAGGUCUGAUGUGAAAGCCUUCGGCUUAACCGAAGAAGUGCAUCGGAAACCGGGCGACUUGAGUGCAGAAGAGGACAGUGGAACUCCAUGUGUAGCGGUGGAAUGCGUAGAUAUAUGGAAGAACACCAGUGGCGAAGGCGGCUGUCUGGUCUGCAACUGACGCUGAGGCUCGAAAGCAUGGGUAGCGAACAGG